rnacentral:rRNA from 1 species
AUUGAACGCUGGCGGCAUCCCUUACACAUGCAGGUCGAACGGUAACAGGUUAAGCUGACGAGUGGCGAACGGGUGAGUAAUACAUCGGAACGUGCCCAGUAGUGGGGGAUAGCCCGGCGAAAGCCGGAUUAAUACCGCAUACGACCUACGGGUGAAAGCGGGGGAUCGCAAGACCUCGCGCUAUUGGAGCGGCCGAUGUCAGAUUAGGUAGUUGGUGGGGUAAAAGCCUACCAAGCCUACGAUCUGUAGCUGGUCUGAGAGGACGACCAGCCACACUGGGACAGAGACACGGCCAAGACUCCUGCGGAAGGCAGCAGUGGGGAAUCUUGGACAAUGGGCGCAAGCCUGACUCAGCAAUGCCGCGUGCGUGCAGAAGGCCUUCGGGUUGUAAAGCGCUUUUGUCAGGGAGCAAAUCCUUGUGGCUAAUACCCACCGGGGAUGAGAGUACCUGAAGAAUAAGGACCGGCUAACUACGUGCCAGCAGCCGCCGUAACAC